AGGAACAGAGCAACAUAGUGGACAAUCUGUGUUAGAGGAUGAAUGCUUUAGUUUUUCCUUUAGCGUUUCACUUGUAUAACUGUUACAUAUUGAUCUGAAGUGAAACGUCAAGUAAUAUGUUAACAAUUGUUGCUGUCAGUUUGCGGUUUAGCUCAUUUUAAAACGACCCCGAUUGGACGUCGAACCUUUUGAGACCCAACGAUGCAAUUUAACAACAACGGACAAAUUUGUUCUCUCAUCUUUUCCUCCCUUUAUCAGACUUAUGCGAAUAAUUGUUAUCAUUUUAGUCCCGUUACUCCUGGAUGGUGUGUUUGGUGUGGAUGUGAAGUCAGUGAUGGAGGGAGAUUCUGUUACUCUACAGACUGAUCUUACUGAAAUAAAGAGAAAUGAUUUAAUAACAUGGACAUUUGGAACUGAAAACGUUCGUAUAGCUCAGAUCAAUGGAUUGAUUAAUAUGGUUUAUGAUGGUCCUAAUGGGAUAUUCAGAGACAGACUGAAGCUGGAUCAUCAGACUGGAUCUCUCACCAUCACAAACAUUACAACUGAACACUCUGGACUUUACAGAGUUUUUCAGUUCACUGAUGGAAAAGAACCAAAGAAAUUCAGUAUUAUUGUUUUUGCUCGUCUGCCUGUUCCUGUCAUCAGCAGUAACUCUUCACAAUGUCCAUCAUCAUCAUCAUCAUAUUGUUCAUUGUUGUGUUCAGUGGUGAAUGUGAGUGAUGUGACUCUCUCCUGGUACAAAGGAAACAGUUUAUUGUCCAACAUCAGUGUGUCUGAUCUCAGCAUCAGUCUCUCUCUACCUCUGGAGGUGGAAUAUCAGGAUAAAAACACCUACAGCUGUGUGAUCAACAAUCCCAUCAGCAACCAGACUCAACAUCUGGACAUUAGUGAACUCUGUCAACCAUGUUCAGCACCAGGUUUGACCACAGUUCAGUUAGUGCUGGUUUACUUUUUUGCCCUGGCUGUCGUUGCAGUUUUCUGUGUUUUCUAUUGCUAUUACUACAGGAAGUCUAAAGAAGCAGCCAAUCAAGGCCAACCUGAUGGAGAAGAACAUAUUGAGCUACGUAAUGGUGAGAAACAGUUUAACUGUGGCUUUAUUCUGUUCACUGAGACAAAAAACAUUUUUACAAAGAACUCUAAAGUAAAACAUUAAAGGUGUUCAUUGAAUUAUGUGAUUAUUGUUAUGUGUAGUUCCUGAAAACAGUGGGGGAGGCGAUUGACCAAACAGUGGUAAGAUACUGUAUUACUGAAUCUCUUUGCAUGUGUGUGUUCAUAUUAGUCGAUUCAUAUUGGUGUUUUUUUUAUUUUUUAUUUUUUCAGCAGGUGCAGAAACACCCGAUCAGGAAAAGCAACCACAAAACAAUGGCAGUGGCAGCAGUGGCAUGGAUGGUAUUAGAGAUGAGCUGCAACAGGAUCAGUUAGAAUUGGACACUGAUGAGUUAGAGAGAGCAGGCAAGCAGCUAGGCAUAGAAGGCAGUGAGAAAGAAGAUGAUUUAGGGACUUUGGAAUCAGGACCAAAGCAAGUUAAUCUAAAAAAUUAUCCAGUCACCAGAUUUGGUCUACAAAAAAGAUCCUUUCAGCAGAGAUGGUUUGACUCUUGAAUGGCUGGAGUACUCUGUUAACAGAGAUGCCACAUUCUGCUAUGCUUGCAGGAUACAUGGAAAGCAUCCAGCACGAAAUAAUAAAGAUUCUCUGAUCAGCACAGGAGGCUUUUCAAACUGGAAACGAGCUCUGGAGAGUUUCAGAGAGCAUGAAGCAAGUUUAGGGCACAAGGCUUCAGUGCUUUCUUGGAAGAAUUAUAAAGCCAGUUUAAUAGAAGGCAGUGUUGUUGAGAAAAUGAACGUGGCACAAAUUGGUGACAUUGUUGAGAGACGUGAAUAUUUGCGCAGAAUUGUUGCUGUGACCAGCUAUCUAGGGAAGCAAGGUAUUUCUUUUCGUGGCCAUGAAGAAGCAGAGUCUAGUGGAAAUCAGGGAAACUUUUUGGAGUUGAUGAAGCUCCUGGAGCAAGUUGAUCCCUUCCUUUAAAGCUACAAACCACCUUGAAAUGCUACUUAUCUCUGUCCAUCUUCACAAAAUGAGAUGACUGAGUGUUGUGCAGAAGAAAUAACUGGCUGCUUAGUUGAAGAGGUGAAAAUAUCCAAAAUGUUUGCAGUCAUGGCUGAUGAAGCAAGGGAUGGCCAUGUUGAGCAGCUUGCUGUAUGUGUACGUUAUGUCACAGCUAAAGGCACAGUAAAAGAGCACUUCAUUGAAAUGUCCAGCCUCAAGGGAGUGUGUAUUCAUUCUUUAGUGCAUCAAUGGUCAAUCAUCAAGCAUUUCAUGACACACAGAAACAACUAGGUUUAGAGAACAGCGAAUUUGUCCAACUCUCUAAAACUAGAUGGGAAUGUCAGCUCAACUCAGUCAAAGCUGUGCUUGAAAAUCUGACUGCUUUGUUAAGAUGCCUGGAAAAAGUUGCUACACCCAUAGCAAUUGGGCUGCUGUCAAAACUGUCCAGUUUUUCCAGUGUGUACAUGCUUGUAAUGUUCAAGAGUUUGCUAUCUGCUACAGAGGGGCUCCAUAAGUAUCUCCAGAAAGAAUCUGUAGACCUGGCACAAGCAACACUCUACAAAUAUGCUGUUCUUGAAACACUGACAUUAAUGCAGAGCAGUGAAGAAACAGCGGAACAGCUCUACAAGGAGACAAAAGAAAUUUGCGAGUCCAAUAACAUCUCAGAGAUCCUGUCUGGUCCCCGCUGUAAGCAAAGGCGGAUGGAUGAUUACGCAGUGGAUUCCACAUUGGGCACUAGGGCUCCAUGUGAUACUGGCAUCCAACUUAAAAAUCAUCUUUUGUAUCCAUGUCUUGACCGCAUGAUAAGUGAGCUGAGCAACAGAUUUUCUGCUUGCAAUCCAGCAGCUGAUGACUUUCUUAGUGAGCAUAAGUUGCAUACUAUUUUUGUUAAUGUGUGUUUAUUAUUAAACUAUAUUACAUAAAAAGUCCUUGUAAAACAUGUUAUUCUUGCUUACCCUCUCCCCCUAAUUAGCCCCUGAUGUUUGGGGCUCAGCCAUGGAAGGACAAUCUGUCACCCCACAAACUGAUGUUACUGAAAUACAGGAACAUGAACUGAUGUGGUGAAAGUUUGCUGAUUCCAGUGUAAACAGAGGCUAAAUGUUCUGUCAUAGCUGAGUGGGAUAAAACAAACAAUGAAGAAUAUCUAUAUAAUGAAGAAAUAUUCAAAGACAGGUUGCAAUGGGACCAUAAUACUAGAUCUCUGACCAUCACAAAUAUCACACCUGAACACUAUGGACAUUAUAAACUACACACAGAAUUUCUCAAAGACAUUUAAUGUAGUUGCCUAUGUGAGCAGAGUGUUUCAGUAGUCUUAAGAUCAUUAAGACAUUUCUAUUAACCCUUAAACACGACACAAUGCAAUAAAUAAUUCAAAGUGCGCUGAAAACAUCUGUAAAAUCUGUAAAAUUAUUAGAUCAUUAACACCUGAUUGGGCAUUUAGAGUAAAUGUACUGUAACUUGAAAUGUACUGUAACUUGAAAAGAAAAAAAAAAAGAUUUACAAAGAUUUAUUAUCUGUACUGUACUU